CGGCGUGGAUUAGGCAUGCAAGUCGAACGAGAUCCAAGGCGUCCAAGUAGCAAUAUGAGGAUGUCUUGGUGACAGUGGCGAAAGGGUGAGUAACGCGCGGGUAAUCUGCCCUUAAGUUGGGGAUAGCUCUGCGAAAGCGGAAUUAAUACCGAAUGUGGUCGUGGCGCACAUGCGCCAUUAUCCAAAGCCGGGGACCGUAAGGCCUGGCGCUUAAGGAUGAACCCACGUACUAUCAGCUUGUUGGUGAGGUAACGGCUCACCAAGGCUAUGACGGUUAGCUGGUCUGAGAGGAUGGUCAGCCACACUGGGACUGAGACACUGCCCAGACUCCUACGGGAGGCUGCAGUCGAGGAUCAUUCGCAAUGCGCGAAAGCGUGACGGUGCGACGCCGCGUGCAGGAUGAAGGCCUUCGGGUCGUAAACUGCUGUCAUGAGGGAACAAUGUCCGGGAUGUUAAUAACAUCUCGGGGUGAUAGUACCUCAAGAGGAAGCCACGGCUAACUCUGUGCCAGCAGCCGCGGUAAUACAGAGGCGGCGAGCGUUGUUCGGAUUUACUGGGCGUAAAGGGUGCGUAGGCGGUUCUGUGUGUCGGAUGUGAAAGCUCACAGCUCAACUGUGGAAUUGCAUUCGAAACUACAGGGCUGGAGUACAGGAGAGGAGAGCGGAAUUCUCGGUGUAGCGGUGAAAUGCUCCAUGGUGGAAAAGGAACACCGGUGGCGAAGGCGGCUCUCUGGACUGAUACUGACGCUGAGGCACGAAAGCUGG
rnacentral:rRNA from 1 species